GAUCCUGGCUCAGGAUGAACGCUAGCUACAGGCUUAACACAUGCAAGUCGAGGGGCAGCAUGACCUAGCAAUAGGUUGAUGGCGACCGGCGCACGGGUGAGUAACACGUAUCCAACCUACCGGUUAUUCCGGGAUAGCCUUUCUAAAGAAAGAUUAAUACCGGAUAGUAUAACGAGAAGGCAUCUUUUUGUUAUUAAAGAAUUUCGAUAACCGAUGGGGAUGCGUUCCAUUAGUUUGUUGGCGGGGUAACGGUCCACCAAG
rnacentral:rRNA from 1 species